CGCGUAGGUGGUAUUGCAUGUCGGAUGUGAAAGCCCAUCGCUUAACGAUGGAAUUGCAUUCGAAACUGCAGAACUAGAGUACGGGAGAGGAGAGCGGAAUUCUUGGUGUAGCGGUGAAAUGCGUUGAUAUCAAGAAGAACACCGGCUGCGAAGGCGGCUCUCUGGAACGUUACUGACGCUGAGGCGCGAAAGCUGGGGGAGCAAACAGGAUUAGAUACCAUGGUAGUCC
rnacentral:rRNA from 1 species